GCCAUCUUGGCUCCUCCGCCCGACAACAAAGUGCUAAGAAUGGAGUUUAUCACCUGUGACCGGCUUUAAUGUCCCUGGAGGUCUGAAGUUUGCGGAUCAUCGGAAGUGACAGCCAAGUGAUUCCUUUGAAUGAAGGGAAGAUAUAUUAAUCGUUAUCUACAAAACUGGAAGGCAAGUGGCUGCUCAUCCUUUUAGGGCUGGCCAUCCUUAAACAUCAUCCUUAAACAGAGGACCAACAUAGAACUACAUAAAGCAUCAUUUACUUACCUCUGUUUUAGGAGAAACAUCUUAAUGAUUCUAUUCACUGAACCAGGCUUCGUAAAAUUUUACCACAUCUGUUACAAUAAUCUGUCAAAUUCUGAAAGUGGCUCCAAAACUAAAAGAUCAGCAACAGUAGCAUCUUUGUCACCCAAAAUGACUUAGGUUUAAGUCUCUGUUGAGUCAAGGUGUCCCCAUCACUGACUUGACCUAAGGCCAAUAUGAAUAUGUUGAUAUAUUAACACUAACUUGUACUAAAAGCAAACCUGGAGAUUCCUGAAUAGUGGAUUCUACUGAAUUUGUGCUUUUCUAGAAUAUGAGGAAGAAAAUAUAUAGGAUGCUUUAGCAGUGUGGUUUCAGUCCCUUCAAGUUUUGUGUUUUAUGACACUUGCCGUGUAAUGUUCUACUUUUACAAUAAAGCCCCCAUUUAGGUUAGAAGCAAAAUAUAACAGCUCAUAUUCAUUGUGCAACAGAUUUGUCAGAUUAUCUACCAAAAGAAAUCUCAUUAUUCCUCCAUAGUAUGUUAAGUUACACAUGACUUGUAUGAGAAAUAUGUAUGUACUAAUUUCCAGAGCAAGAAGUUUGUGUUAGGUUGGCACAAAAGUAAUUGUGGUUUUUGCCACUACUUUCAAUGGCAU
rnacentral:lncRNA from 1 species